GGUUUUUUGAAUUUAACUAAAAAAUCAGGCCUGCCCACUGAUAAAGGGCUGCAGUAUUUUGACUGUACAAAGGUAGCAUAAUCAUUAGUCUUUUAAUUAAGGACUGGUAUGAAGGGUUAGACGGAGAUUAGCUGUCUCAAAUAUAAGAAUAAAUUUUAUUUUUAAGGAAAAGAGCUUAAAUUAAUUAAAGGGACGAGAAGACCCUAUUAAAUUUGAUAUAAUAAACUAUUUUUGAUUAAAUAAAUAAGGUAGUUGUAUAUUAGUUUUACUGGGGCGGUGUGUUUGUAACUGUAUUAUAAUUUAAUUUGAUAAAUAGCGAUAUUUUGAUCCGAGGGGAUCGAUAUUAGAUAAAAUUACUAUAGGGAUAACAGCGUGAUAUUUUUUGAGAGUUCUUAUUGACAAGAAUGUUUGCGACCUCGAUGUUGGAUUAAGAAGUCUUAUUGAUGCAGUAAUUUUUGAAGAAGGUCUGUUCGACCUUUAAAUUCUU
rnacentral:rRNA from 1 species